CAUUUUCUCGCGAAUAUUUUUUCUCUUGUGAAUGUUUACAGAAAGACCGUACGGGGUUGGUUUAUGGAAAUUUUGAAGGUGAAGAAACCCUAUCUUGCGAGAUACCCAUCUUGCCGAUCCACCACCAUUCUCUUCUUCUAGUUCUAAUGGCGCUGGAAUCAGGGGCAACAGACCCCCUCGAAAACCCAAGUCCUCCUAAGAAAAUGCUCCAACGUCAUAUCCCAACUCCCUUCAUGGUUCCCGAUUUUGAACCCUCGUCGGCUAAGUUGAAGAGCCCGCUUCCACCUAAGCCUCCCUCUUCUAACCCGCUUAAGAGGAAGCUCAAUAUGGAGACCUUUCUUGAGAAUUCCAUCCUUGGGUUGUCAUAUUCUGGUGCGAAGGUAUGACUAGUUGACAAAUAAGAGCCUUCAGAUUGGUUACUUCUUAUCAGCAAUGCUUGCUUAUGGAACAGUGUUGAUAGCACACACACAUAUAUAUUCUGUAAUGAUAUAUAUUAGGAAUGUGAUCAAGGAAGCCAGCUUGUCUAGAGAAAGCAAGAGUUGGUGUUGAAGCAACACCCAUUCAUGAUGGCAUGAGUACACCUAUGCACCCAUGAGUCCGUCAAGAUAUUGUUUGUAGAGUGAUUGAAGUCAUAUCAAGUUGGAAGCUAAGAGAUUGGGUGAAAGCUAAGCAAUCGUUGAAGGUUGAAGGUUGAAGACUGUGAAGUUCAAAGUUCAGUUAACAGCUCCUACAAUGCGAUCAAAUCCACCUACUCAAACCCACCUUCUGUUUCUAAAGCAGAAGAGAAUUUGUGUUAGACUCACCUUCUAUUCCUAAAGUAGAAGAGCUUUCAAUGACUUAACCAAGUGAGCGAUUAAGUUUUUUAUCAUCCAUAUUGUUUCCUAUCCGUACUUCUAUCUAGAGAAAGAAAGCUACAUAGAAAAAGUAGACUACCAAAUGGGAAAAAAAAGAUUAGUAAGCAGUGUUAGUUUUUGAAAAUAGUAAACAAAAAUUAACAUGAUUAUCAAACCAAGCCAUUCGAGAACAUGAAAUAGAAUUGGAUAGCUGUCGUGCAUUAUGUCUACAAAUGUUAUGAUAGUUACUAUGAUAUGGGGUUUAUGAAAGAGAAUUUCCUAUGUAUUUUAACAACAGAUGAUUCUUCAUCAUCAAGCAAAGUUUAUAGCUUUAAAGAGUACCUAAAGGUUACAAAAUAUCAGCCGAUAGCUCAUGAUAAGCUCCAAACGAAUUUUCCAGCACAAAGCCAGAGUGUAUCCCCAGUGCAACGUGAAGGAACAAAGAUGAAUAAGCAAUGAAAAAGGAAUGAAGAGGUUUAUCCAUGCAAGCUUCAAACCAAAGUCAAGGAUGUCAAUCCUUCGAGGGGAGUCCACUGUUCCCCCUUAUUUUUCUCCCUUUACUUUGAUUUUCAAAAGCUUUGAGGACAAAGCAAGUUUUUAAGUGGGAGUGGGUAAUAGCUUGCUUAGCUUGAAUGUUUAGUCUAAACUUGGGGGAUUUCAAAUUUUGCCCAAAUUAAGAAAAAAUUCAAAAAAAAUUUCCUUACAAUAAUGAGCAAUAUAGCUUCUUAGCUUACUUAGAUCUUGCAUAAAAAA